CUGGCUUGGUGGGGGGACGGCCUAUAUAAACUAGCAGCGCCGCUCAGUCCCUAAGCUGCUCUCAGGUUCUGCAGGACGAGAUGAUGAUGAAAAGGACGAUGAGGAGCCUGGCUGUAGUGGUGGUCCUGAUGCUGAGCCAGGCUCUGGCCAAGGCCCCCGACCCCAACGAUCCCGGGGACACCAUCAGCAAGGCCAACAAGGAGGUCGAAGAAUUCCUGAAUAGGAAACGGGAUCCGAAUGUGACCGACGGGACUUUAAUCUUCAAUCCUGUCGUCACCAUAAUGUCAUCGCUCAAGGCGCAGCAUGACAAGGCGUUCUUGAUGAGCGCUACCCUGGGGGUCUACCUGCAGAUCCUGUCCCGGGUCCUGGCCGAACCCAGCCCUGCUCCGGAGGGUCCUGGGGUUACGGGGGGUCCGGAGGGCCCGCUGUUCAAGGAGGUGCGACCGGCGCUGCGUAAACUCCAAGCAGAACUGCUGCGAAUGAAGGAACGCUAUUACCACGGCAACCAGCGGGUCCAGGCCGCCCUGGACCAGCUCCACGCCAUAAAGGUGGACGACCCCCUGGUCCAGAGACAGGCCCUGGCAGAGUUCAUGACGGUGCAUUACGUUGUCUCUAAUGUCGGCUUGAGGAACAUCAACCACACCUUAAAGACCCAGUGACACCUGCUGUAUACUCUUUGAUAUGGGGCUGCCACUUCAGAUAACCUAUUUAAUAUUUAAUUAUAUUUAUUCCUAUUUACAUUUAAAUAUCGUAUUUGAGUUAGUUUUUUGUGAAUUAUGGUUUUACAAACACGCACACUAGUGACUUUAGUUUGACCAAG
ensembl:lncRNA